rnacentral:lncRNA from 1 species
UCUUGUUCCUCCACUCUUGAAAAUGCUUUGCAGGCAGUUCCCGGUGUGCAAAAGGUCCAAGUGGCUUUAGCAACCGAAGAGGCACAGAUUCAUCAUGAUCCCAAAAUCAUAACCUGCAAUCAACUCAUGGAGAAAAUAGAAGAGACCGGAUUCGGAGCCGUACUUGUUAGCACUGGAGAAGACAUGAGCAAGAUCAAUCUCCGUAUCGAUGGUGUGAGGACGGUUAACUCGAUGAGAAUGCUUGAAAAUUCCCUUCAAGCACUCCCUGGUGUUCAAGCUGUACAAAUAUCCCCUGAACUCAAAAAAAUUGCAGUCUCAUACAAACCAGAUAUGACAGGACGAAGAAACUUCAUCAAAGUAAUAGAUUCAACAGGCAGUAGCAGGCGUUUUAAGGCAACGAUAUAUUCCGAAGGUGAAGGUGGUGGAAGGGAAUCUCAUAGAAAGAAAGAAAUUAAGCAGUACUUCAGAUCCUUCCUAUGGAGCUUGAUUUUCACUACUCCUGUAUUUUUAACCUCCAUGAUUUUCAUGUAUAUCCCUGGAAUUAAACAUGGAUUGGACACCAAAGUAGUGAAUAUGUUAACUAUAGGUGAAGUCAUAAGAUGGGUGCUAUCAACUCCGGUUCAGUUCAUAAUAGGGAGACGGUUUUACACCGGUUCUUAUAAAGCAUUACGCCACGGGUCUGCAAAUAUGGAUGUUUUAAUCGCAUUGGGGACUAAUGCAGCUUACUUUUAUUCUGUCUACAGCGUGAUAAGAGCUGCUUCUCCAGAUUUUGAAGGUACUGAUUUUUUUGAAACAAGUGCAAUGCUUAUCUCAUUCAUUUUACUUGGUAAGUAUCUUGAGGUUCUAGCUAAAGGAAAAACAUCAGAAGCCAUUGCUAAGCUUAUGAACCUUGCACUUGAGACAGCAAUGUUGUUGAGUUUAGAUGAAGAAGGGAAUGUGAUAGGUGAAGAAGAAAUCGAUAGUCGACUGAUACAAAAGAAUGAUAUUAUCAAAAUCCUACCUGGUGCAAAAGUAGCUUCAGAUGGUUUUGUUUUGUGGGGGCAAAGUCAUAUAAAUGAAAGCUUGAUAACCGGAG